AUGGACGGCUGUUGGACGUCCCACUGAGUACAGCGUUUUAUAAGCUUCUUUUUGGUCAAGAGCUCGAUUUGCAUGAUAUUGUAUUAUUUGACGCUGAACUUGGUAAGACCUUGCAAGAGCUGCGUGUUCUUGUUGCCCGCAAGCACUAUCUGGAGGCAGUAGGUGGUGGCAAUGGCAGCACAGUUUCUGAUUUAUGUUUACGUGGAUCCCGCAUAGAAGAUCUCUGCUUGGACUUCACACUACCUGGCUAUCCUGAGUACAUUCUGAGACCAGGAGAUGAAAUUGUUGAUAUUACCAAUCUUGAGGAGUAUAUUUCCCUUGUCGUUGAUGCUACUGUCAAGAGAGGAGUUGCUCGGCAGAUCGACGCGUUCAGAUCUGGAUUCAAUCAGGUGUUUGACAUAACAUCUCUACAAAUAUUCACCCCUUCUGAGCUGGACUACUUGUUGUGUGGUCGUAGAGAGUUGUGGGAGGCGGAGACUCUUACUGAA